rnacentral:rRNA from 1 species
UACGUAGGGUGCGAGCGUUAAUCGGAAUUACUGGGCGUAAAGCGCGUGUAGGUGGUGGGCCAAGUCUGUGGUGAAAUCGCCCGGCUCAACUGGGCGGGGUCCGUGGAAACUGGUCGACUGGAGGACGGUAGAGGCGAGUGGAAUUCCCGGUGUAGUGGUGAAAUGCGUAGAGAUCGGGAGGAACACCAGUGGCGAAGGCGGCUCGCUGGGCCGGUCCUGACACUGAGACGCGAAGGCGUGGGGAGCGAACGGG